rnacentral:rRNA from 1 species
UACGUAGGGACCAAGCGUUGUUCGGAUUUACUGGGCGUAAAGGGCUCGUAGGUGGCCAACUAAGUCAGACGUGAAAUCCCUCGGCUUAACCGGGGAACUGCGUCUGAUACUGGAUGGCUAGAGAUUGGGAGAGGGAUGCGGAAUUCCAGGUGUAGCGGUGAAAUGCGUAGAUAUCUGGAGGAACACCGGUGGCGAAGGCGGCAUCCUGGACCGACACUGACGCUGAGGCGCGAAAGCUAGGGUAGCAAACGGG